GUGGGGAAUCUUCCACAAUGGACGAAAGUCUGAUGGAGCAACGCCGCGUGAGUGAAGAAGGGUUUCGGCUCGUAAAGCUCUGUUGUCGGGGACGAAUGUGCAGUAUUUGAAUAAAGUACUGUAAUGACGGUACCUGACGAGGAAGCCACGGCUAACUACGUGCCAGCAGCCGCGGUAAUACGUAGGUGGCAAGCGUUGUCCGGAAUUAUUGGGCGUAAAGGGAGCGCAGGCGGGAAGGUAAGUCGGUCUUAAAAGUGCGGGGCUCAACCCCGUGAUGGGAUCGAAACUAUCUUGCUUGAGUGCAGGAGAGGAAAGUGGAAUUCCUAGUGUAGCGGUGAAAUGCGUAGAUAUUAGGAGGAACACCAGUGGCGAAGGCGACUUUCUGGACUGUAACUGACGCUGAGGCUCGAAAGCCAGGGGAGCGAACGGGAUUAGAAACCCGGGUAGUCC
rnacentral:rRNA from 1 species